CAAGGACGGCAGCCCAAAACGACGGAGGCCAGGUGAGCAAGUGGCUGAGGUGCCGCAGGGAGCCUCGGAGGGGCGAAGCCGCGUGCUGACGAGCGUUCCGAGAAGGCGCUGCGUGGCCACCUUUUGGACCGGAUGUCCGUUUGAGG